CGAGAACUCUUACAUUGGCUUUUUACGGAAGCAAUCUUAACAAAGGCUCUUUUCAGAGCCACCCAUGUAUUCAUUAAAAGGGCUCACAUUUUCUCUGUCAGGGUUUAGAAGUUCGCAAUGGCUCGUACCAAGCAGACUGCUCGCAAGUCCACGGGUGGGAAAGCGCCACGCAAGCAGCUGGCCACCAAGGCUGCUCGAAAGAGCGCUCCAGCCACCGGCGGCGUGAAGAAGCCCCACCGUUACCGGCCCGGCACCGUGGCUCUGCGCGAGAUCCGCCGCUACCAGAAGUCGACCGAGCUGCUGAUUCGCAAACUGCCAUUCCAGCGUCUGGUCCGUGAGAUCGCGCAGGACUUCAAGACUGAUCUGCGCUUUCAGAGCUCGGCGGUAAUGGCGCUGCAGGAGGCCUGCGAGGCCUACCUGGUGGGGCUGUUUGAGGACACCAACCUAUGCGCCAUUCACGCCAAGCGAGUGACUAUUAUGCCCAAGGACAUCCAGCUGGCUCGUCGCAUUCGUGGGGAGAGGGCGUAAAUUGUCUUGUGAAUGUGUGCUAACCAAAACCCAAAGGCUCUUUUCAGAGCCAACCACCUUUUCUAUAAAAGUUGCUGUUUACUGUUGCUGUCCGUAAACUGGAACCUCUGUUCACUCAAGAUGGACUCUCACUCCGUUGCCCAGCCUGGAGUGCAGUGGCGUGAUCUUGGCUCACUGCAACCUCCGUCUCCCAGGUUCAAGCGAUUCUUCUGCCUCAGCCUCCUGAGUAGCUAGGACUACAGGCGCGCGCCACCACGCCCAGCUAAUUUUUGUAUUUUUAGUAGACACUAGAGACAGGGUUUCACUGUAUUGGCCAGGCUGAUCUCUAACUCCUGACCCUGUGAUCUGCCCGCCUCCGCCUCCCACAGUGCUGCAACUACAGGCAUGAGCCACGGCACCAGGCCCCCUACAUCGAUUUCGUAAAAGGCCAUUAUAAUCUGUCUCGUAUUAUCUGCAUACUUGUCCACUUUUAAAUCUUCCUAGUAGUUUACAAACAUCUAAAAGUACAGAUUAGUAUUAUAGUACGGCAUACAAAUAUUUAUGUAAAAAAACUUGCAGAAAUGCAUAUAGGGAAUUGUGUGGAACCAGAACAUAACUCAAGUGUCCUUAACUUUCCAUUUCUUUAUUUUGCCUUUAUGGCUACUCCCCAAAUGAUUGUUUUCUGCAGCAGUAUGCCCUGUGCAGUAUUGUUGACAUAGUAGUGCUUGACUCUUGUUUUUCAUUUUAAACUGAAUAACUAGGUGAGACAUUAUACACCACUGAGGAUGCAGAUCAAUUAUAAAAUAGGUAACUUGCUCAAGUUUUCACCAUUUAGCUCUGAGUGGCCCAUACUAUGCCUCUCCUUCUAAGAAGGAUUUUAUUUUAUUUAUUUACUUAUUUAUUUAUUGAGAUGGAGUCUCACUCUGUCGCCCAGACUGGAGUGCAGUGGUGCAAUCUUGGCUCACUGCAACCUCUGCCUUCCGGGUUCAAGUGAUUCUUGUGCCUCAGCCUCCCAUGUAGCUGGGAUUACAAGAGCAUGCCACCAUGCCCAGCUAAUGUUUGUAUUUUUAGUAGUGUCAGGGUUUCUCCAUGUUACCCAGGCUGCUCUUGAACUGGGCUCAAGUGAUCCACCAGCCUUGGCUUUCCAAAGUGCUAGGAUUAUAGGCGUGAGCCACCGCACCCGGCCAGAAUAAUAUUUAUUUAUGUAUUUAUUUUUGAGAUGGAGUUUCACUCGUCACCCAGGCUGGAUUACAGUGACUUAAUCUUGUCUCACUAUAACUUCUGCCUCCCAGGUUCAAGCAAUUCUCUUGCCUCAGUCUCCCAAGUAGCUGGGAUUACAGGUAUGCACCACCAUGCCCAGCUAAUUUUUGUAUUUUUAGUAGAGACGCGGUUUCACCACGUUGGCCAGGCUGGUCUCGACCUCUUGACCUCAGGUGAUCCACCCACCUCGGCCUCCCAAAGUGCUGGGAUGACAGGCAUGAGCCACCAUGCCCUGCGCAGAAUAAUGGUUUUAAAUGCAUUAGAUAAUAUAUAGGAAUGCAAAGUGAAACAAUUAUAUUAGUAUGCCAUUAUCAAAUUAUAAAAAAUCUAAAUUGGUGAAAUAUUAACAUAUGUGCUUUUAAAUUUUUUAUUUUAUUUACUUACUGAUUUUGAGACAGAGUCUCACUGUUGCCCAGGCUGGAGUGCAAUGGUACGAUCUUGGCUCAGUGCAUCCUCUGCUUCUCAGGUUCAAGCGAUUAGCUACCCAAGUAGCUGUGCGCCACCAUGCCUGAUAAAUUUUUGCAUUUUUAGUAGAGACAUGGUUUUGCCAUGUUGGCUAGACUGGUCUGGAACUCCUGGCCUCAAGUGAUCCUCCCAUCUGGGCCUUUCAAAGAGCUGGGAGUUACAGGCAUAAGCCAUGGCCUGGCAUAUGUCCUUUUUAAAUUAAUACAUUAAAUAAUAAUCUACCCAUAUGACUAAGACUUAUUAUAGUUUUGAAGGAUUGAGGUUUUUUUUUGUUUUUUUGUUUUUUUUUUGAGAUGCAGUCUUGCUGUUUUGCCCAGGCUGGAGUGCAGUGGCGCGAUCUCUGUUCACUGCAAGUUCCACCUCCCAGGUUCACGCCAUUCUCCUGUCUCAACCUCCUGAGUAGCUGGGACUACAGGUGCCCGCCACCAUGUCCGGCUAAUUUUUUUGUAUUUUUAGUAGAGAUGGGGUUUCACUGUGUUAGCCAGGAUUGUCUCCAUCUCCUGACCUUGUGAUCCUCCCGCCUUUGCCUCCCAAAGUGCUGGGAUUACAGGCGUGAGCCACUGCACCGGGCUUUAGGAUUGAGAUUUUUAAAUGAAAUUUCGAGAUAUUGGCAAUGAGAAUGUGAUAUAAAUAAAAGCACUUGUCCUGCCAAUUACACUGUUUGUUGCCUGAGUUCAUACACAGAAAAAAUGCUGUUUCUGUUGGAGAAUAGUAAAAAGAAAAAACAAAGAUUUGACGUUUUUUUUUUUUUUUCUAUACUCAUUCCCAGAUCCCCUGAAGACUUUCUAUGUAUCCCAGGCUAAGAACCUUACUCUGCAAUCUUUUCCAUGUACCAUAAACUCAACAAACAGCAAACAGCUGUGAUAAACUUGGUUCUCCUCACAAGUCAUGAAGGAAAAGCCAAAUAUUCCACCCAAACGACCUGGAACUUUUUAUGGGGAUUAAUGAUGAGUUAAGUUUUUAAUUAUUUAUUAUUUUGAGGAGUUCUCGAAAUCAGAUUUUAGCAAAUUAGAAUACUCUCUCUCAUCCCUUUAGAAGGGUGAACCUUAAGGAUAGGAAUUGAAAACACCCACAAUAUUGUACUAUACCAUAAUUAAUGUUUAGUCAUUGCUUAUUUGGAAUCUAGACACUAUUCUAAGCAUUUUGAUAGGAUUAUCUGUUUCAACUUAACAAAUACUUACAAGUUAGAUUUUUAAAAAUACAUUUACAACAAGGAAACUUAGUGUAGCUUGCCCAGGGUCACCCCCACAGCAUGUAUGUCGAGCAGGCUGUCUCUAUGAUAGUUUGGAGGGAUACUAUGAUGCCAAUUUGCUAGAGUAAUAGAAUAUGGUGAAUGAUGCAGUGCUAGCUACAAUCUGUCCAUGAUUAAAGGCACAAUCAAAGCAUAAAUUUUCAUAAAUUUCAGCCCAACAAGGUUUUCUUUUACAGAUGUACAUAGUCAUGUUUUCAAUCGGCCCUCAGUGAUCUUAUCCUAAUUUGACCUCUAAAUGUGUAACUUUCAUAUACUUUUAGUUCCCUCAGUAGCACUAUCUAGCCUGCAUGCCAAAGAGCCCUGCUUGGUUAACUAGGAAUGCGUAAAUCAAUAAAAAUAAUCUCAGAGACAAUAAAGAUAUGAGUUACUUAAAAUACUUUGAAAGCACCUUAUGGCCCGGCGCGGUGGCUCACGCCUGUAAUCCUAGCACUUUGGGAGGCCGAGGCAGGUGGAUCACAAUGUCAGGAGUUCGAGACCAUCCUGGCCUAUGGUGAAACCCCGUCUCUACUAAAAAAAUACCAAAAUUAGCUGGGCAUGGUGGCGGGCGCCUGUAACCCCAGCUACUUGGGAGGCUGAGGCAGGAGAAUUGCUUGAAUCCGGGAGGCAGAGGAUGCAGUGAGCCUAGAUUGUGCCACUGCAUUCCAGCCUGGGCAACAGAGCAAGAACCCGUCUC